rnacentral:rRNA from 1 species
GUGUCAGCCGCCGCGGUAAUACGGAGGGUGCAAGCGCUAUCCGGAUUCAUUGGGUUUAAAGGGUGCGCAGGCGGAUAAUUAAGUCAGUGGUGAAAUCCCGGGGCUCAACCUCGGAACUGCCAUUGAUACUGAUAAUCUGGAAUACGGUUGAAGUGGGCGGAAUGUAGCAUGUAGCGGUGAAAUGCAUAGAGAUGCUACAGAACACCGAUCGCGAAGGCAGCUCACUAAGCCGAUAUUGACGCUCAGGCACGAAAGCGUGGGGAGCGAACAGGAUUAGAUACCCUGGUAGUCCACGCCGUAAACGAUGAUAACUCGUUGUUGGCGAUAUACAGUCAGCGACUAAGCGAAAGCGAUAAGUUAUCCACCUGGGGAGUACGAUCGCAAGGUUGAAACUCAAAGGAAUAGACGG